UCUAUUAUUAACAUUCUCUUUUCGGAGUAGUGCGUGUGUGUGUAUAUAUGGACAUCGAGGGCCAGUUUCUCUUGUAAUUAACUCUCCUUAGUCUCGGUUACAAUUCCAAACAUUUUGCAUUUCCAUCUCUCCAUCUCCAGCCACAUAUAUUCACACAAUGGAAAGAAUUACUUGGUUCUUCCUGGCCGUGGUUAGCUGCUUAACCAUGGCAGCAGCACAAACCAAUAGUAAUCUCACCACAGACAAGUAUGCUCUUCUUGCUCUCAAAGCCUGUAUCACCAGUGAUCCGCAGAACAUUAUUUUCACCAACUGGUCAACCACCACCCCUGUUUGCAAUUGGGUUGGUGUCACUUGUGGUGCACGCCAUCAUCGAGUCGCAAGCCUAAACCUCUCUUACAUGGGACUCACAAGCACCAUUCCUCCGGAACUUGGCAACCUUUCAUUUCUUGUUAGGCUAAGCUUUAAAAAUAAUAGUUUUCACGGUACCUUGCCUCCAGGGUUGGCUCGUCUGCGGAGAUUAAAGUUCAUUACCUUUGGUUUCAACAACUUUAUGGGUAUCAUUCCGUCAUGGUUCGGGUCCUUAUCAAAACUUCAAGCCUUUUAUUUGUAUGGUAAUCAGUUUUCGGGUUACAUACCCAGUGCCAUCUUCAACUUAUCAGCACUCGAAGUAAUUGAUUUGAAGUAUAACUAGCUAUCAGGUAGCAUACCCGCUGCCAUCUUCAACUUAUCAGCACUCGAAGUAAUUAAUCUGAGCUAUAACCAGCUAUCAGGUAGCAUACCGAGAGAAAUCGGAAACCUAACAGUGUUGAAGGAGAUAUACCUUGAUAGUAAUAAUUUCAAAGAACUUCCGAAUGAGAUUGGCAAUUUGGAUCAAUUAGAAGAAUUGUAUGUGCAAAACAAUGCCUUACAAGGGCCUCUUCCUAUGGUUGUCUUCAACAUGUCGUCUUUAACAACUUUGACUUUCUUUGGAAACAACUUGACUGGUAGUCUUCCGGACAAUAUAUGUCAAUAUCUUCCGAGCAUUCAAACCUUGAGUUUGUCAAAAAACCAACUUGUCGGUCCACUCUCAUCCAAAUGGUCGCAAUGCAAACAACUUCUUUCAUUAGAAUUGGGGAUGAAUACUUUCAGUGGAAGCAUACCCACCAAUAUUGCCAAUUUAACCCAAAUACAGCAGAUUGUCCUUCGCACAAACUAUUUGACAGGUACUAUACCACAUGAGAUUGGUUAUCUUCCGAAUUUGGAGGCAUUGAGCCUCGGAACUAAUAAUCUCAAUGGCGUCAUCCCAUUUCCAAUUUUCAAUAUUUCCACUAUAACAUUAUUAGAUCUUACUGCUAAUGAUCUCUUAGGUAGCCUCCCAACAAAUAUAGGCCUUGAGCUUCCAAACCUACUAGAGCUCUAUCUAGGAGGAAAUAAACUCAGCGGAGUAAUCCCCAAGUCCAUCUCCAAUGCUUCUCAGCUCACGAUCAUAGAUCUGGGAGAAAACUUCCUUUCCGGCUUUAUUCCUAGCACGCUAUGUACCUUAACAAAGCUUGAGGUGCUUUCCUUAUACCAGAAUAAUUUAACCCUUGAUACUUCUAUUCCAGAUGUAGAUAUUCUCUCUUGUCUGCCAAAUCUUAAAAAAUUGGUAGAAUUCCAAAUCAUAAACAAUCCAUUAAAUGCCAAACUUCCGAUUUCCUUUUGGAAUUUCUCUACAUCACUUCACAUUGUCAAACUAGGGAAUUGCAAAAUGAGAGGUAACAUCCCCAAUGAGAUAGGCCACUUGAGCAGCUUGAUACACUUAGAUCUGGGAGAAAAUGAACUAAGUGGACCAGUUCCGACCUCAAUGGGAAGAUUGCAAAACCUCCAAAUUUUGGAUUUGAGUGGUAACGAAUUGCAAGGACACAUUCCAGAUGAGCUUUGUCAACUGAACCAUCUUGGUGAGUUAUCAUUGUAUGGGAAUCAACUUUCAGGUUCAAUACCUUCAUGCUUGGGUAAUCUAACCGCAACCCUAAGAAAUCUAUUAUUAGGGUCUAAUAUGUUGAAUCUCUCAAUACCAUCUACCUUGUGGAGACUCACAGAUAUCUUGGAAUUAGACUUAUCAUCCAAUUCACUAAUUGGACCUGUCUCGGAAGGUGUUGGUAAUUUGAAAGUUGCCACCCUUAUAGAGUUAUCAAACAACCAAUUCUCUGGUAGUAUACCAAACAGCAUUGGGAGCCUUCAGAAUUUGGUCCAUCUCUCUUUGGCAAAUAAUAAUUUACAAGGACUAAUUCCAAGUUCAGUUGGCAAGUCGAUCAGCUUGGAAUUUUUGGAUUUAUCCAUAAACAAUUUGUCAGGAGUGAUUCCCAAGUCUCUUGAAUCACUCUCAUAUCUCAAGUAUCUGAAUUUGUCUUUCAAUAAACUCAAAGGAGAAAUUCCAACAGGCGGACCUUUCAAAAACUUUUCUGCUCAAUCUUUUGUUUCGAACCAUGGACUCUGUGGUGCAUCCCAAUUUCAUGUUCCACCAUGUAAAAGGAAAACUAGCAGAUCUAUCUUGAAAUAUGUCAUUCCAGGGAUCUUGUCACCGAUGCUUCUUUUGACCAUCUUAAUUUGGAUGGUCAUGUUAUGCAGAAAAAAGGAUGUGGAAGCUCCAACAGAGACUGCUCUUUUGGCUCAACUUGAAUGGAAAAGAGUUUCAUACAAAGAAAUUGCUAGUGCGACAAAUGGAUUCAAUCUAAGAAACUUACUUGGGAGGGGGGCUUUUGGUUCAGUGUAUAGAGGAAGACUGUCAGAUGGAAUAGAUGUUGCUAUAAAGGUUUUUAAUUCAGAGACAGAAAGGGCAUUUACAAGUUUUGAGGUUGAAUGUGAAAUGCUAAGCAAUCUUCGUCACCGAAAUCUUGUCAAAGUCAUUAGUUGCUGCAGUGAAAUUGAUUUCAAAGCUCUUAUACUGGGUUUCAUGCCUAAUGGGAGCUUGGAAAAGUGGUUGUAUUCUCAGAAUUGUUCUUUGAACAUGCGGCAGAGGUUGGAUAUAAUGAUAGAUGUUGCAUCGGCACUGGAGUAUCUCCAUCAUGGUUAUGAUGUAUCUAUUGUCCAUUGUGAUUUGAAGCCAAGCAAUAUACUACUAGAUGAUGAAAUGGGUGCACAUGUUUCUGAUUUUGGCAUUGCAAAAUUCCUAAAUGGAGGAGAUUCUAUGACUCAAACCAUGACCCUAGCCACAAUUGGGUAUAUGGCUCCAGAGUAUGGAAUGGAAGGAAAAGUUUCGAGAAAGGGGGAUGUGUAUAGUUUUGGUAUUGUAGUAAUGGAAACAUUCACAAGAAGGAAUCCAACAGAUGAAAUGUUUGUUGGGGAUAUGAGUUUAAAGCAAUGGGUUGCGAAUUCACUAUAUCAAGAUGCAAUAGUUGAUGUUGUUGAUGCCAAGCUACUUGGGACAGAGGAAGAUCAUGAUUUUGUGGGCAAGAGAGAAUGUUUAUCAUCCAUUAUGACAUUAGCUCUUGGUUGUUCAGCAGAAUCACCAGAAGAGAGGAUAAAUAUGCAAGAGGCUCUAGCCACACUCAAUAAAAUCAAGAUCAAGCUUAUAAAGGAAGUUCCAGGAAGUAUGCUUCCAAAGAAGUGAUGAAUACUAUAGGCUAUAGCAUAUCAUAUGGCAUUUGACUUGGUUCUAUCUUGUUGAAACUUGGAGAAGUGUAUAUUGUGUGAGAUUCGCCGGUUGAUGUAGUAUCUUAGUAAUUCCAGGAUAUGGCUUUGUAUUUUAUCUGCUGUUAUGAACAUACUUUGAAUCCAGGCAUCAGUCAAUAGCUACACACGAGUAGAGUACUGACUGAAAAUAUUCUAUGCUUGCACCGAUGCAUGCAAUAGUACAUGGAAUGGUGGAUAUAUUACUGCAGAUUUACCAGAAAAAAAACUAUAAAGAAGAUGUUGCAGCAAUGUAACAUCAAGAUCAAGUUUUUGAAGGACGCAGCAUUAGGUUUGGUCUAUGAACAGUCUUGUCCAGCAGACCUUCAAUUGGUGGAUUUCUAUAGAAUGUUUCAUGGCAUUUGAUUCAGUCUUUAAUUGAUGUACUAGUUUGAUGUGUCGGAUCUCCUAGUUAAGGUAAUUGGUUGGUAUUAAAAUAGCAAUUCAGUAAUUGUGCUGUUUCUGAAAUUACCUAAUCACUGUAUUUUCUUUUUUCUUCUACUUCUGAACAAUCACUGAUUCAUUGUAGAGCAUAUAUGACUGCUGUAACACAUGCAUGCAAUGGUAGAUGUAAUGAAA